rnacentral:rRNA from 1 species
ACUCCUACGGGAGGCAGCAGUGGGGAAUAUUGCGCAAUGGGCGAAAGCCUGACGCAGCCAUGCCGCGUGUGUGAAGAAGGCCCUAGGGUUGUAAAGCACUUUCAAUUGGGAAGAAAAGCUGCAAGUUAAUAACUUGUAGCCCUGACAUUACCUUUAGAAGAAGCACCGGCUAACUCCGUGCCAGCAGCCGCGGUAAUACGGAGGGUGCGAGCGUUAAUCGGAAUUACUGGGCGUAAAGCGCGCGUAGGCGGUUUUGUUAAGUCGGAUGUGAAAGCCCCCGGGCUCAACCUGGGAACUGCACCCGAUACUGGCCGACUAGAGUACGAGAGAGGGAGGUAGAAUUCCAUGUGUAGCGGUGAAAUGCGUAGAUAUAUGGAGGAAUACCAGUGGCGAAGGCGGCCUCCUGGCUCGAUACUGACGCUGAGGUGCGAAAGCGUGGGAGCAAACAGGAUUAGAUACCCCUGGUAGACUGUCA